CCUACGGGAGACAGCAGUGAGGAAUAUUGGUCAAUGGACGAGAGUCUGAACCAGCCAAGUAGCGUGAAGGAUGACUGCCCUAUGGGUUGUAAACUUCUUUUAUAUGGGAAUAAAAUGUUCCACGUGUGGGAUUUUGUAUGUACCAUAUGAAUAAGGAUCGGCUAACUCCGUGCCAGCAGCCGCGGUCAUACGGAGGAUCCGAGCGUUAUCCGGAUUUAUUGGGUUUAAAGGGAGCGUAGGUGGAUUGUUAAGUCAGUUGUGAAAGUUUGCGGCUCAACCGUAAAAUUGCAGUUGAAACUGGCAGUCUUGAGUACAGGAGAGGUGGGCGGAAUUCGUGGUGUAGCGGUGAAAUGCUUAGAUAUCACGAAGAACUCCGAUUGCGAAGGCAGUUCACUGGACUGCAACUGACACUGAGGCUCGAAAGUGUGGGUAUCAAACAGGAUUAGAUACCCUAGUAGUC
rnacentral:rRNA from 1 species